UAAUCUUUAUAUAUAUAGUUAUGAUUUUAAUAAUGAAAUAAUAAUCCAAAAAUAAAUAUAUUGAAGAAGAUACAAAUACAUGUGAAAAUUUGAAACAAUCUAUUCAAUAAAAAAAAUAUAACGUAAACUUAUUAUGUUUUAAAAAUUGAUAGACAUAUAUAUAUUAUAAUAUAUACCAAUUUAGAAUUGAAAACACAAUGUUUAUAUAUAAUUAAAUGAAAACAAAAACCCGCGCAACAAAAACCCGAGCGGUUGCGCGGAUCGAAAUCUAGUGUUAAGUUUAAGUAUUCAGACAUAUGUUAUUCAAAUUUAUAUGUAAUAUAGUAUUUUAUUUACAGAUUUUGAGAAAUUUAAACUAUAUACUGAAUUUUAAAAAAAUUAAAAUUAUUUAAAUGGGUUAUCCGAACCCGAACCGAAUCCCAACCGAAAUUUAAAAAUAUCCGAAUGACGCUGAAAUCUUUAAUCCCAAAAACCCAAAACAUAAAUAAACCUGAACCGAACCCGAAUGGAUACCCGAACGUCCCCCUAUUUGUCACUGUCUUAUGUCCUUUUUAAAGUUCUGCUUUUACGGUUUUAUUUAUAAGACAUUUAUGGGUUUUGUUUGGGCUUUUACAUGUUGACGGUGACGAAUCGACAUAAUGUCAACACAAGAUCCCCAAACUCUAGAAUUAGACACGAUGAUACCACAAAAGCAAAAGCGCCCGGUUCUGGUCACUGCGGCUCCUUUUGUGAAAGAAAACAUGCGGCAGAGGUAAGAGAUCUAAAAUUAAAUUUGGUACUUCAAUUGAAUGUUAAGAUAUUUUACGAUAAAACCUUGAACUAUAGAAGUGUUAAUGCAAUUAAUUACAUUCAAACAGUUGUAUUCCACCUUUGGAAGCAAAUAUAUAUACAACUUGAUUCAUAAUCAGACAUCGAUUCCAGCUGCAACUGUGUUUUAUGGUAUUGACAAAGAGUUGAGGAACAUUAUCUCAAGAGCUUGUUUUGCUGUUUUAGAAGAAGAAACUACAACCGUUGACAAUCUUCCAAGCUUCAGAAACAUCACAGGACCAUACUUCUUGGAGAGUCUCCAUAGGGAUUGGUGUGGUAAUUCUCCAAACUGGUGCAAGUUACCGAUGAUUGGAAAACCAGGAGGAGAUGGUGGUCAUUGUUGCUUCUUCUUGCUUUUGAAGGCGGUGAAAAGAAGAAAUGUGAGAAAGAAAAGUGGUAGAAACCAAAUCGUUGCCAUUUUUUUUUUACUAGCAUACGUCUUAAGUUUUCUUGAAUGAUGACGAAGGAAGCUUGUACUUUUAUAUAUACAAAUAUACUGUUGUGAGUUUGCUCUGUUUUCUCAUAUCAUCUUUUGGGUUUACUUUAAAUUCUAACGAUUAAAAAAACUUUUAAAAACUUGAGUAGAGAAAAAGAAUUCAACCUAGAACACCACGGCUGUUCUAUACAGCAUCGCAGACAAGCCAUGUGUUUUAGAAACAUUUUAUAUCAUGUUAUAUUAUAUUGUAUCAUUUAUAUUUAAACAAAACAUUUUUAUAUCAUGUUUAAACAGAUCAAAGCAAGAAAGACCAGAGAACACACUACACGCUAAAAGUGCAAAUCAGACCAAAAGUACGUAGUAAUCAGACUGCACGGAGAUUACGGUAUACUGCGGUUGGUUUCUUUGAUCAGUAAAUGACUUGAAUGAUGAUAACGAGACAAAAAAAAAUACACGCAGAGACAGUCAAAGGAUAAAGUUGAAAACGAUUUAGAAGUGGUAAGGUGGCUUCAAUUGAUCAAAGUGAUUCUGGCGAAUCGAGAGAAAAAAAAUUGUGGGGGCAUAAAUAAAUAAAAGGAAAGAAACAGUUCAGGAGGAGAUUCGAAGAGUGAUCUAGAGGGGGCAAACAGAUGACUGGAACCAACUAUGAUAUGGAAAACUUGUAGUUUCUAAUGGAAAUAUAUUUAUUUUUAGAUUUUUUGUGGGGGCAGCUGCCUCCUCCCCACAUAACGUAGGUUCGCCACUGAUUCUAGAGAGAAGGGGACAAAGUGGUUUUAUUCAAAAUCAUGGUGUUGUCUUAGUUGUCAAAAAAUUUCAUGCACAAGAACACAUUUCAAAUGGCAGAGUAGGUUUUGUUCAGGACCAUGGUGUUGACACACAAGUAUCUUAGUUGCCAAACAACUUCAUGCACAAAAACACAUUACCAAUUUACCAAUGGCUGAGUAGGGUUGUCCCUAGAUGAAUUAGCUCCCUAAUCAAAUCUUAGGAAAUUACAUGUCCUCUCUUAAAUGAUAAUUUUCAUUAGUUGUAUGUUAUAACUUCUAAAGCCCAUUAAUGCAGAAAUAUUUUUGACACUCAAAAUCAAACAAAAUCAUUUUCCAUAGCCUUUAUAAAUCUAUAUGAAGAUCUUCGAAAAGUUUAUAUAUUUUACCAAAUAAAUGUUUUCUAAAAUAACCGAAAUUCAUGAAAAUUUUAGGUAAGACUUGGAUUAAAAAGUUAACGUGAUAUAUAUAUCUAAAACGAUAUUCUGACUAUAGAGCUCUGACCACAUAUGUUUUGAUUUACCAAAUUUAUAUUUUCUGGAUUAAAUUGAAUGUUGUAGAUUAAUUUUUUUGUAACAGAAAGAAUAAUUAUUUUUAAUUAACAUUAAUCGUCUUGGACUCAGGAAGGAGUUUAGAUUCUAAUGCCACGAGUUUAAUUUCUUCUAGAAACAGAAUGAUGUGUUCUGGUCAAUGUUUUUAAACCCGACCCGGACACAGAACCGGACGACUUACCGGGUUACUGGGUCACUGGUUCGACCACGGGUGAACCGCGGGUUGAUAGAUGAAUUAAUUUUUUUAUAUAAUAAUAUAUCAGCUAUAUAAAUAAAAAUAUAGAAACUAAAGUUUAAUAUUUUCUAAAUAUUUUUAAAACAUAAAAUAAUAGUUUGGAUAUGUAUAUAUUUUAUGUUUAAAAACAUUUAGAAAAUAAUUAACCUUAGUUUUUAUAUUUUUAUUUUCAUUUGACAUACAAAAUAUCAAAAAAAUAGUUUAAACUAUUUAAAAUUUUCCCUAACAACGUAAGAGUUAUGACAUCUAAAAUAAAUCCAAACAUAACAUUUAUAAAUAUUUAAAUAUUUAAAUGCCUAAUGUGAAUAAUAAAUUAAACUACAAAUAGAAAAUAAACCAAAAGUAAAAGAUCAUUGUAAUAAAUUAUCAAUAACGGAAAUAAACUAACACCAAAUCACAUCAAUUAAUUUUGGUUCUGUCUACCAUCGUUCACUUUAUUUUCUUUAGGUGACAUAGUGAAAUCUUCAUCAAAAUCUAAAAAACAAAAAUAUAAAACUGAAA